rnacentral:lncRNA from 1 species
CUCAAACUUUGGUAAUAAACCUCGCUCAAAAUCUUCCUCAUCCCCCAAGUACUUUCCUACUAUGAGUCUAGCAAGGAUCAAACUUGCAAAAACAGCUCUUCAAAGGAUCAAACUUGUUAUUAUUAGUUGGCUACACAUAGGGUAUAUUAUAUAUGAGAAGAGACAUAGGUAUAUUUAGCCUAUUAAUUUUACUCUUAAAUUGAGAUCCAUUAUUAAUAUACAUUAUUGGACUUGGGGAAAAAAAGCAUGUAAAGGAACAGCAUUCUUG